GGAUAUGCUCGGAAACAGCCUCAGCAGGCAGAGCCAACUCAGCUAUACUGUAUUUCUGACAGAGUGGGGGGAGAAUUGAUCUGGGUAUUGAUUUGAUGCAGGAGCUGGUGCUUGUUUAAAAGUUUGCCCACAGGUCAGACCUUGUUACAAGCAGCUUUCCUGGUGAUUAGGUUAGAAGGAAACUGCGCCAACAGUGCUAACCAGGACAAUGUGGAACUGACAAGCCUUGUUUCCUACUCUCCAGCAAAAACAAAAGCAAACAGGUGAGCAGCUGGGGCCAAAACGGGGUUUUAGAAACCAUCCCCAGGUUUCCUGCCAGCAUCUGUUAUGAUCAAACUGCAAAUGCACUUUCAGCGUAGGACUGAGGAGUUCUGGGUUUGCAUGGAUUCUGGUCAUAUAGGUAUCUACUAACAUCAACAGCUUCCAAAAGUGCAGCACACGUCUAUCCCCUGCAGCAGCUCAGGUGCUCAGUGGGCUCUGAAUUUGGUGAGAAAUAAGCGUGGCUACACUGCACUCCAUGAUUCCAUCACAGAGGCACUCACAUAUUGCUACAGAGCACUCCUCUGCCCACACCCCUUCAGACCUACAGGCACAAGCUCUUAAGAGACUGGGAAGAGGAGUGAGGAAAAGUUCCUUUCGUUUCAAUGGAGCAGCACAGAAUACUGGAGCCCAGUCUCUUUCAGGAGGAUUGAUUUUGCCUUUUACAUCUCUUAGUGAAUCCGCUGCACCCCUUCCUUGGCUUUGCUGCCUUGGAAGCACGGCUUGCAGCUGAGUGCUGGUAGAUGACCAAGGAAGCAGCAAACCAGUUCAGAGCAGUGCAGGUAUCCUCAGAUAACCGCAUGCCUCACAGCAGCCAAGCAGCUGCUCGCUCUCAUGCAGCAUUCUCGCUGAAGCACGCAGGAGCCAGAGUGGAGCCGAAGCAUUUACUGGGAUUUAUGCAUUUGGAAAGAAUAAAAAUCAACGUACGAACUCCCCACUUCAUCCACGUGCUCAGCGCAGCAGUGCAACAUCCCCUGCUGCAGGGACUGAUGUUAACGCUCAGCACCGACUAUCUCCAGCGCAGAAACGGAGCCAGCACCCUGCUCAGCUGCCCCUUGGGCACACAAGAUGCUCCUGUCCCCAACACCGAAACACAAGCCCGAAACCCAGCCCCACGCAUAGGACAGAAAAUAAAAACCAGCUUCCACUCGGCCCAGCCCCGAGACAGAAUGAGAGAGUGCCUGUGGCACAGCAGCCACUAGCAGCGAGAACUUGCCGUUCCCAAAGCGCUGUGCAAACACUUGCACGCGCUCCCCACGCCCUUUGCAAUGCAGCGCGCUGACACGCUCAGCACACGGCUCCGAGCCCCGGCACAACCAGAUCGCCACAAAACCCCGUGUGAACAAGCAGCACUUGGCACUCCACAUCGCAGCAGGCAUUACAAGCACGAUCCAGUGAAGCCUCGUGAGCCUCCCACGCAGCGAUCUCCCCUAGAAACUGGCCAGCCUCCCUGGCGACUAAUCCCUGGUGUGAGUUACCUAAGGAGCCGAUGGCACGUAGAGCGCAAAGCUGGGCUCUUAUCGAUAUCAACAUCGAGGCUCAGAAGCCACGGAGAGAACCUUUGCACUUUGGCUCCCUGACGCUGAGACAACAUCACUUCUUCACACCAGGACGUGGUCAUGUGCGAGUCGCUCUGGACAAGGAACUGUCUCUGCCGACACGCGGAGCCCGCAGGCUCUUGGGGCAGAGAUGCAGACGCGCAUCCCAUAGUGCAGCAGGUGCAGGGCUGCUCUGGAGGGGCUGCAGGAGGCCGGCACAGAGCACAGGUUCAGCAGGAACGGGGCAGGCAGGCAGGCGACAGCUGCCAAGGAUGGGACCCGCGCUAUGCCCUGAGCUGACCACCCGGCCGCACCUUCAGCGGUGUUCCUGGUUUGAAAGAAGAGAGAAAGAAGGGGACUGGGGGCAGGGGAGGGGAGUGACGGUGGAGGUUUGCCGUGGAGCUAAAAGGGGAGAUUUAGUAACUGUCGGAAAAAAUGGCUGCUUUAUUGCAGGCAGCUUGUAAACCCUGGAGCCUGAAGGUCUGGGAGUAAUUUCUCCCUCCCACGUGCUGGGCUCAGUUUGUACUGGGGGUCAGGGGUCAGUGCUUUUCCAAAGCAUUCUGGGAAACACGCCAACUGGAGCAAGCUGCGAAACACCGCUCCUGCAGCACGGAGCAGGCUGCCCGAGGAGCCGACCCAGCGAGCUGCAGCGCCUGCUUAACCCUUUGCAGGGCGACCACUCCGCUCCCCCUGCCCUGCCAGGCUGUGAUGUGGGCGCCGGAGGAGAAGAAGGGACACAGGGACACCCCUGGGUGGUCCUCCAGGGGCUGCACCUCCCAACGCGGCCCAGCUGCUGCGUCUGAGCCCUGCUGCAGGUUGGGUGCAGGGAGUCAGAGCAGAGGGAAAACAAGCAGAGCAAGAACCCUGUGCCUGGGACGCAGCCUUAGCAUGGGAGAAAAUCGCCAGCUCCGUUUCAGAAAGGAGAAUAACUGUCCAGAAGCAAGGUCCCUGAGCUUCUUCAGCCCAGAUGCCCGCCCCCGCCUCACCAAAGCACUGCUGAGCAGCAGCAGGAGCCAAGGCACAAUCACGGCACUGACUGCAUGCCGGGGCACCUCUAGAAGGCAGCUCUCCCAUCGGCAGGGCAAAGCUCCUGGCACCCCUCUCUGUGCAAGGGAAGGAUGCCCUCCCUCCUUCCCACCCCAUCCCUGCACUGGGGCACACUGACGCUGUCCCCUCGCAGCCGUGCCAUGCCCUGCUGACGCUCUUCUCUCCCUCUCUGCAACCCUAGAGCCACACACAGCUCGGCCUCCUCCCUGGCACGGCCACGGCCACGGCCACGGCCAGCAGAACGCCGAGCAGAGCCCGCCAGCAGCACGUCGUGUCGGAGCCACGCUGCUCACAACACCGCGCUUCCUGCGAGCUGGCAGGGGGUGUGGCUGUGCCUCUGCACUGCUCCACCACAAAGACUGUCACACUGAAGAUGAUCCAUCUCCCUCCAAACAAAGACUUGUGCCUUCUUGUCUACAUCCCUUUGAAUUGCGCUCGCAGCUUUCUAAGCGGCUACGGUCUUGUGAGACGGAAGGCUGCUUGGAGCUGAGCCAGCACCAGGGAAACCACCAUUUCAAGGUCCUGCGAAGGAGCCUGUAAGAGCAGAAGGGAGCUUUGGCUGGGCGUGGGGGGGGGGGAAAUGAUGCACAGAGCAGGCUGUUCGCUGGAAGCUGCUGCUGCUUGCCAGGAGGCAGUGGGGGGAGGAGGCAGCAGAUGUCCGCAGACAGCAUUUGCUGAGAGCCUGCAGCACUCCAGCCCAGGGAGGGGAGGAAGGCGGCGGCUGGUGCCACUGCUGCUGCAUUGUAAUUGAACAGGACAAACAUGACAGAGUCUGCUGAGAAAGCUUACGCUGCCUUUCCCUCCAAUAACUGCCAGUUCAGAGAUGGGAAGCAGGAGUCCCAGGACAGUGGCUUGGGGUCAGGAUGGCACUGCAGGGAACGCUGCGUGGCCCUUCCCCAAGCAGCGGCAGCAGCUGCAAACCCCUCUGUAGCCAAGCACAGCCACCAGGGCUGCGUCUGCGUGCGAGGACCACGGGGCAGGUCCUGCUGCAGCCCACGAGUUCCCUCUCCUCCUGGCACACACGGCAGAGUCCAGGAAGGAGAGGCAAUAAAUGUCCAAGGACGCACAGCGGAAAGCAGAACGCAGGGCUCAGCCCACCAGCCUCCCCCUUUGGGCACCAGCUCGCCCAGCACCCAGGUGCCCUGGCUCACAGCUGCUUCCCCUCAGCAGCAGCUGGCAGAAAGCGCUCAGGUUUGCAGCAACCCCGUGCACUCUGCAUUUCCCCUUCAUUGUAAAAGUGUAUGAUGGAGAACACAACUGCCGGUGCUGUGGCAGGCAGCCAGCAAGCCCAGACCCAGCAGCGCUGCUCUGUGCAGGCGUGAGGUGUCAGCUGGGCUCUCGGACGGCCCACGUGGCUCCAGUUUCCUGUCUCUGGGCACAAGAGGUUUGCUUCCUCCCUGCAGUAAAUGAGGCCGAUCACAGGAGCUCUGCCACCAGUCACACAGUAAUGUGGGCUGCCUGGAGCCAGGCUUCUCCCAUAGGUUUUGUUCUGCAUCCAGGAUGCUCUGCAGAGAUGGUGGGUGAUGGGAGCAGCACCUCAGAGACUGUGCCCGCUGCCACGAGGACAUGGAGGGUGCAGCAGGACCUAAGCACACCAUGCUUCUACCUGCCCAAAAAGGCCCUGGGACACCCAGAAACAUCAGCCAUCACCCAUUUCAGAUGGAAAGGAACUGACUUAAGCCGGAGGGGCCUUUGGCUCAUUAAGCAAAACCACCCUGGGGCUUGUUGUUCAGAUCAAAUCGCGCAGCUCCUGGUCCCCUCCUACAGCAUACUGAGAUACAGUCUGGCACUUGGGUCCACUUGAGUCCUCUUAAAAUAAAAAUUAAUUGAUAUGCAAAUAAGAUGAGGCGUUAGAUUAGUCUGCUGGCCGAGGGCAAUGCACAGCCUCCCCACCGUUCCAAGCUACAAUUCCAACAUUGCCGCACCCUUCCUGUGCCUGGGGUCAGCCCUUGGCAGCAGCUCUCAAGAGCAGAGGGUCCCAAUAACGUAUGCCACGUGCACAAGGGAGCCUGGGUGGCACAACAUCAUGGGAUGGCUGAAAUCAUUUGGAAUAAAUUUGGAAUUAAAGCAUAAUAAACUAAACGAGAAACAUUUACCGCUGGCACCCUAGCCUCUCUUCAUACUUUGAAAUUGCUGUGUGGGGUGGGGCACAGUUGCUUAAAGUCCUGACAAUGCAAAUGAUCAGGCAGGUAGAUCACUCUUCUCGCUAAAAUAACAUGUGCAUCUGCAAAAUCAGGACACUUUGCUGAAGUUCUGGAUCAAGGCAAAGUAACUCCUUUAUUACCAACAAACUAUUCAGAUCCGAUGUUAAAAACACCUAGUGGGAGCAUGGCAAACGAGGCAUGUCUGAAAAAUAUCACAGAGUCUGUCACCUUGCAGGAAGUACCACAACAGCUGAUGCAGCAUGAUGUUUUGUUCUCACAGCAGUCUCACCCAGUAAGUUGCUUAAUGGAUGUCUAGAGCGGCCCUGGGUGCUUCAGAGCCAGGUUGACAGAAGGACUAAGGGAAAUGUCACUCUCAUUUUUAAGAAAGGGAGAAAUGAAGAACCAGGAACAACAGGC